rnacentral:rRNA from 3 species
UUUAUAUGAGAGUUUGAUCCUGGCUCAGGAUGAACGCCGGCGGUGUGCCUAAUACAUGCAAGUCGAACGCGUUGGCCCAAUUGAUUGAUGGUGCUUGCACCUGAUUGAUUUUGGUCGCCAACGAGUGGCGGACGGGUGAGUAACACGUAGGUAACCUGCCCAGAAGCGGGGGACAACAUUUGGAAACAGAUGCUAAUACCGCAUAACAGCGUUGUUCGCAUGAACAACGCUUAAAAGAUGGCUUCUCGCUAUCACUUCUGGAUGGACCUGCGGUGCAUUAGCUUGUUGGUGGGGUAACGGCCUACCAAGGCGAUGAUGCAUAGCCGAGUUGAGAGACUGAUCGGCCACAAUGGGACUGAGACACGGCCCAUACUCCUACGGGAGGCAGCAGUAGGGAAUCUUCCACAAUGGGCGCAAGCCUGAUGGAGCAACACCGCGUGAGUGAAGAAGGGUUUCGGCUCGUAAAGCUCUGUUGUUAAAGAAGAACACGUAUGAGAGUAACUGUUCAUACGUUGACGGUAUUUAACCAGAAAGUCACGGCUAACUACGUGCCAGCAGCCGCGGUAAUACGUAGGUGGCAAGCGUUAUCCGGAUUUAUUGGGCGUAAAGAGAGUGCAGGCGGUUUUCUAAGUCUGAUGUGAAAGCCUUCGGCUUAACCGGAGAAGUGCAUCGGAAACUGGAUAACUUGAGUGCAGAAGAGGGUAGUGGAACUCCAUGUGUAGCGGUGGAAUGCGUAGAUAUAUGGAAGAACACCAGUGGCGAAGGCGGCUACCUGGUCUGCAACUGACGCUGAGACUCGAAAGCAUGGGUAGCGAACAGGAUUAGAUACCCUGGUAGUCCAUGCCGUAAACGAUGAGUGCUAGGUGUUGGAGGGUUUCCGCCCUUCAGUGCCGGAGCUAACGCAUUAAGCACUCCGCCUGGGGAGUACGACCGCAAGGUUGAAACUCAAAGGAAUUGACGGGGGCCCGCACAAGCGGUGGAGCAUGUGGUUUAAUUCGAAGCUACGCGAAGAACCUUACCAGGUCUUGACAUCUUGCGCCAACCCUAGAGAUAGGGCGUUUCCUUCGGGAACGCAAUGACAGGUGGUGCAUGGUCGUCGUCAGCUCGUGUCGUGAGAUGUUGGGUUAAGUCCCGCAACGAGCGCAACCCUUGUUACUAGUUGCCAGCAUUAAGUUGGGCACUCUAGUGAGACUGCCGGUGACAAACCGGAGGAAGGUGGGGACGACGUCAGAUCAUCAUGCCCCUUAUGACCUGGGCUACACACGUGCUACAAUGGACGGUACAACGAGUCGCGAACUCGCGAGGGCAAGCAAAUCUCUUAAAACCGUUCUCAGUUCGGACUGCAGGCUGCAACUCGCCUGCACGAAGUCGGAAUCGCUAGUAAUCGCGGAUCAGCAUGCCGCGGUGAAUACGUUCCCGGGCCUUGUACACACCGCCCGUCACACCAUGAGAGUUUGUAACACCCAAAGUCGGUGGGGUAACCUUUUAGGAGCCAGCCGCCUAAGGUGGGACAGAUGAUUAGGGUGAAGUCGUAACAAGGUAGCCGUAGGAGAACCUGCGGCUGGAUCACCUCCUUUCUA